rnacentral:rRNA from 1 species
UACGGGGGGGGCAAGCGUUGUUCGGAAUUACUGGGCGUAAGGGCUCGUAGGCGGCCAACUAAGUCAGACGUGAAAUCCCUCGGCUUAACCGGGGAACUGCGUCUGAUACUGGAUGGCUAGAGGUUGGGAGAGGGAUGCGGAAUUCCAGGUGUAGCGGUGAAAUGCGUAGAUAUCUGGAGGAACACCGGUGGCGAAGGCGGCAUCCUGGACCAAUUCUGACGCUGAGGAGCGAAAGCCAGGGGAGCAAACGGG